rnacentral:lncRNA from 1 species
CUUGGGACGAAAUCAUGGUUCAGACUCAUGAUUUUUGAAGCUGAGCUACCACUAUCAUGAUUCAGAGCAACCAUUUUCAUGAGCUCCAAAUCAUGACCAUGAAAAGCGUUACGCACACGGUGCACCUGUCAAAACGUGUUUAGCAAAGCUUGUGCAAAGCAUAGUUGGCUGCGCAUUCACGGAAAAGUUGCCCUUUUUUUUUAAAAAAAGGUCACUUUUAUUGCCGGUUUCCUGCGCCGCUGUUGCUCUACUGUCGUUCCUGCUCUACUAUUCCGUUCCUGCUCCGUUAAUAUCGAGCUAUUCCGGCUCUGCAGAACUACCGCCGUUUCAUUCUGUUCCUUUCCUGCCGUGGCUGUUGCCCGUUCCGGCUCCUGUGUACCCGUUCCGGCUCCGCAUUGAGGGAAAAUUCUUCCGGCUCCGCUCUACUAACUACCGCCGUUUUAUUGUCCCAGUGCCACUGUCGCCAUUCCCGCCGCGGCUGUUGCCGUCCAAUAGGUGCAUCCGUUCCGGCUCCGCAUUGAGUGACCAGCUCCGCCCUACCAACUACCGCUCCCGAUUUUGUUGCCGUUCCGGACGUUUCGUUUUCAGCCUUGGCUGGUUCCGCCCAGUAGGUGUUCCCGUUUCGACUUCCCCCACAACUACCGAACGCAGGUGAUAUAGAAGGGAGGAUCGAGCGGCGACUGAACCAUCUCCGCGAAAAAUUUGGGGAAUCAUCGCUACAACCUCAAAUUGUCGCAGUGGGCACGAGCAACUCAACAAAAGCAACGAUGGUUAUUUUU